rnacentral:rRNA from 1 species
AUACCACUUGGAAACAGGUGCUAAUACCGGAUAAGAAAGCAGAUCGCAUGAUCAGCUUUUAAAAAAGGCGGCGUAAGCUGUCGCUAUGGGAUGGCCCCGCGGUGCAUUAGCUAGUUGGUAAGGUAAAAGGCUUACCCAAGGCGAUGAUGCAUAGCCCGAGUUGAGAGACUGAUCGGGCCACAUUGGGGACUGAGACACGGGGCCCAAAACUCCUACGGGGGGAGGGGCAGCAGUAGGGGGAAUCUUCCACAAUGGACGCAAGUCUGAUGGAGCAACGCCGCGUGAGUGAAGAAGGUUUUCGGAUCGUAAAGCUCUGUUGUUGGUGAAGAAGGAUAGAGGUAGUAACUGGCCUUUAUUUGACGGUAAUCAACCAGAAAGUCACGGCUAACUACGUGCCAGCAGCCCGGUAAU